GUCAGCAUGGCCUUUAUAUCCUGGGCUACACACACGCUACAAUGGGAAGGGACAAUAGGUUGCGAAGCCGCGAGGCGGAGCCAAUCCAGCAAAACUUCCCUCAGUUCAGAUUGCAGGCUGCAACUCGCCUGCAUGAAGUUGGAGUUGCUAGUAAACGCAGGUCAGCCAUACUGCGUUGAAUACGUUCCGGGCUU
rnacentral:rRNA from 1 species